AUGCAGCCCUGGAGGAACAAGCUGCACUGUUGGGUGAGUCUCCGUGAGCUCCUCCUGGCUCAAUGUCCUCUCCUGGGCCCCCUGUGCUCUGCCCUUCCCUCCCUUGCCAGAGCAGGGAUGGGCCCUUUUCCAUUCCCACAGCCACUGGGGACCAGUGGUGGGAUGUGACCUGCUCCUCUCUCUCCUUGUAGCUUGGAGAAAGUUUCUGCUUCCUGAAAAUCCAGACGUGGUGACCCUGGAUCCAAACACGGCUCAUUCUGAACUUGUC